CCUGUCCACAAGGAGCCCCCAACCUUUCUCAGACUCAACUGCAGACACAACCCACCGCCACUAUGUCUGACGAGGAAACAACAGUACGAAGAGGAAGAGGAGGCCCAGGAGGAAGAGGAAGUCCAAGAAGAUGCUGUCGCCGAGGAGGAGCGGGAGGAGGACGAGGAAGAGGAGAAACCAAGACCCAAACUUACUGCUCCUAAGAUCCCGGAAGGAGAGAAAGUAGACUUCGAUGAUAUCCAGAAGAAGCGUCAGAACAAGGACCUCAUGGAGCUCCAGGCCCUCAUUGACAGCCACUUUGAAGCUAGA
rnacentral:lncRNA from 1 species